ACUCAAAUGAAUUGACGGGGACCUGCACAACCAGUGGAGCAUGUGGUUUAAUUCGAGACGAACCGAAGAACCUCACCUAGAUUUGACAUAUUACCGUUUAAUUUUUCAGAAAUGAAAGAUGAUCCUCUUUAUUGCGGAUGGUAUUACAGGUGCUGCAUGGCUGUCGUCAGCUCGUGCCGUAGGGUGUUUCCUUCAGUGGAGUAACGAGCGCAACCCCUGCUAUGUGUUGAAUAUUCACAUAGGACUGCCUUACUUUGUAAGGAGGAAGGUGGGGACGACGUCAAGUCAGCAUGGCCUUUAUAUCUAGGGCUACACACAUUCUACAAUGGAGCCGACAAUGGGUUGCCAAACCGUAAGGUGGAGCUAAUCCCAUCAAACGGCUUCUCAGUUGGGAUUGAGGGCUGCAACUCGCCCUCAUGAACGCGGAAUUGGUAGUAAUCGCGGAUCAGCUAGGCCGCGGUGAAUACGUUCUCAGGUCUUGUACACACCGCCCGU
rnacentral:rRNA from 1 species